rnacentral:rRNA from 1 species
AGGGUUCGAUUCUGGCUCAGAACGAACGCUGGCGGCAUGCCUUAUACAUGCAAGUCGAACGAGAAAGUCACUUCGGUGGCGAGUAGAGUGGCGCACGGGUGAGAAACGCGUAGAUCAUCUACCCUUCAGUCUGGGACAACUCUUGGAAACGGGAGCUAAUACCGGAUAAAACCUUCGGGUUGAAAGCUUUAGUGCUGGAGGAUGAGUCUGCGUACCAUUAGCUUGUUGGUAGGGUAACGGCCUACCAAGGCGACGAUGGUUAGCGGGUCUGAGAGGACGAUCCGCCACACUGGAACUGAGACACGGUCCAGACUCCUACGGGAGGCAGCAGUAGGGAAUAUUGCGCAAUGGGGGAAACCCUGACGCAGCAAUGCCGCGUGAGUGAAGAAGGCCCUCGGGUCGUAAAGCUCUUUUAUGGGGGAAGAUGAUGACGGUACUCCAUGAAUAAGCACCGGCUAACUACGUGCCAGCAGCCGCGGUAAUACGUAGGGUGCGAGCGUUGUUCGGAAUUACUGGGCGUAAAGGGCGUGCAGGCGGAUUGGUAAGCCGG